AAGGAUCAUUGAACAUGUCAGUCCAGACGGGUCACUAAACGUACCCCGGGCCAGCCGCGAGGCUUCCUCGCGGUGUGCAAGGAGCCGGCAGUCUGGGGGCUUCCAUCCGACUGUAGUCCUUCCAAUCCAUCCGCUAGCGGUGGUUCUUGAGGAUUCGGAGGAAUACCCCGGUCCGUGAGACCGAGACGGCCUUGCAGACCGGAUUCACCCAGUCGCGGCGUCCCGAUCGGCCCUGUUUGACGCUUCAAUCCAGUGGCUGAAGCUUGUGAGAGUCCGGAGACAGUCGCUCCUCAUGGAGCGCGCUGCAGCCGGACUGCCAAAUCGAAGACAACUCUCAACAACGGAUAUCUUGGCUCCUGCACCGAUGAAGAACGCAGCGAAAUGCGAUACCUAGUGUGAAUUGCAGAAUCAUGUGAAUCAUCGACUCAUUGAACGCAAAUUGCGCCCGAGGUCUAGGCCAAGGGCAUAGCUGGCUCAGCCUCGACGCACCCUAUCGCCCCAGGCGGAUUGUGGUUCACUCGAUCGACCUAGACUGGGAUCGGGCGGACUGAAACCGAAGCACCUCCGGGCCUCGACAGCUACGAUCCGGUGGCACCAUGGUAGAUCGCCUUGAUAGAUGGUGGUUCUCCCGCAUGUUGUGACUAGGAUAGGAGUGACGGCGGUCCGGAGCGUAGGAAGCAAGCAACGUAUUCGACCUGAGCUCAGGUAAGAGCACCCGCUGAACUUAA
rnacentral:sRNA from 1 species